rnacentral:lncRNA from 1 species
CAGGAGAGUGGGGAGGAAGGAGCUGUAUCUGCAUGAACUAACCUUGCUGCUAAGGAAAUGUGCUGGUUAACAACAUCAACACGUACAGGUAGCGCUGUUUCCUUUACUGGACUUGCUUAUAGAAAUACAAUUUGUAUCUCCAAAACUAGAUCUAAAUUACUGAAAGGAAGUUGCUAGCUGAAUGCGUAUUUUUUAAUGGAUUACAUAAGCAAGCAAAAAGUUAGAAGGGUGCUAAUACAAGAAAGGAAAAAAAGGCUAGAGUGAUUUGACCAGAAAGAUGUAGCUUUUACAUGUGCCUUUUACAUUGCUACUGCUGCUUAUGAUCAGAAUCUGAAUGGUUCUAAGGAUCAAUGAAAGGCAAUACAGUUUUUCUUUUUUAGCUAUACAGAAUGAUAGACCAACUGUUUGCAUCAAACGGGCAUUUCACUUCAGCAAUUUGGCUUUUGUUUUUUUGUCUGUAUAUGUACCAUAUAUAUAGUAUUAUUUUGGUAAUACAUUUCAGCUGACAGCUUACUGUGCAUGUGAACCAAAGAAUGCAUCACUAAUUUUUGGGCAAAGCCUUAUUGACACCAAGGGUCCUUCAUUUUCUAGUGAAGUA